UCAAGUUAGCAACCAUUUAAUCCUCCAAAAGGAAGUACAUAAUCAGGGAUAUAUAUGCCAUAUCCAGGAAUACUGGGUGCAACCGAGAAAAGCGACCAUUUUGAUAGGGACCACACAGUAUCCGAAAAGAUGCAGAAUAAAUUGGUAUCCAGGAAGAUUCACGGGUGUCUCGCAUUAGAAAAAAUUCAGAAGGAACGUAAGAUCACGUUCAACUCGACGACAUCCACCCAUCUACUCAUGCCACAUGCAAACUUCAAUCUCGCGCGGGUUUCCCACCUUUUUUUGCAAAUUAAUGUAACAAGGAAAGGGAAAUGCAAGGUGGACGGGGCAAAAGGAAGACUCUUGCACACCUCGAAUUCUCCAAACGCGCGGAG
rnacentral:misc_RNA from 1 species